rnacentral:rRNA from 1 species
AUUGAACGAUGGCGGCAGGCCUAACACAUGCAAGUCGAGCGAGCGGCGGACGGGUGAGUAAUGUCUGGGAAACUGCCUGAUGGAGGGGGAUAACUACUGGAAACGGUAGCUAAUACCGCAUACCAUCAGAUGUGCCCAGAUGGGAUUAGCUAGUAGGUGGGGUAACGGCUCACCUAGGCGACGAUCCCUAGCUGGUCUGAGAGGAUGACCAGCCCACAUGGAACUGAGACACGGUUCAGACUCCUUCGGGAGGCAGCAGUGGGGAAUAUUGCACAAUGGGUGCAAGCCUGAUGCAGCCAUGCCGCGUGUGUUAAGAAGGCCUUCGUGUUGUAAAGCACUUUCAGCGGGGAGGCGUUACCCGCAGAAGAAGCACCGGCUAACUCCGUGCCAGCAGCCGCGGUAAUAC